CGGGGUUAGUAACGGUAACACGUAUGUCAAACCCUGGCCCUCGGCCCAACCAAGUCCCGGGUAAUAAUCGGGAGAAAUUCCGUCUAAUACGGCAUAAUGCAUCGACGGGACAUCCUGUUGGUGCCAAAGGUUGAUUCCGGUGGCGGAUGGGCAUGCGUCGCAUUAGUUAGUUGGCGGUGUAACGGACCACCAAGACGACGAUGCGUAGGGGUUCUGAGAGGAAGGUCCCCCACACUGGUACUGAGACACGGACCAGACUCCUACGGGAGGCAGCAG
rnacentral:rRNA from 1 species